rnacentral:misc_RNA from 1 species
AAGUCGUAACAAGGUUUCCGUAGGUGAACCUGCGGAAGGAUCAUUACAGUGGCUGCUUGCGCAGCGUCCCCUCGGGGAUAUCAUGAAUGGAGGGAAUCGAGGAUUUACAACCAUGAACAACGGAUCUCUAGGCUCCU